GUACACGCUGUGACUAGCAUAUCAAUAAGCGGAGGAAAAGAAACUAACAAGGAUUCCCCUAGUAACGGCGAGUGAAGCGGGAAGAGCUCAAAUUUGAAAUCUUAAAGGGUUUCCCUUUACGAAUUGUAGUUUAAAGAAGUGUUUUCUGUUGAGGUUUUGGUAAAAGUUCUUUGGAAUAGGACAUCAUAGAGGGUGAGAAUCCCGUAUUUGACCUUUACUUUCAACUUUGUGAUACACUUUCAAAGAGUCGGAUUGUUUGGGAAUGCAGUCCAAAAUGGGUGGUAAAUUUCAUCUAAAGCUAAAUAUUGGCGAGAGACCGAUAGCGAACAAGUACCGUGAGGGAAAGAUGAAAAGAACUUUGAAAAGAGAGUUAAACAGUACGUGAAAUUGUCAAAAGGGAAGCGUUUGACACCAGUGUUGUUUUUCUGAAAAUCAAUUAAAGAACUGUUUAUGCUAAGCUGUUUAGACUUUAUCAGCUAUCUGUUUAGUUUUGAGCUUUUCUUUAAUGCACUUUUCAGUUAACAAGUCAACAUCAAUUUCUUUUGCUGUAAAAAAGCUUGAGGAAGGUGGCUUGAGAUUCGUCUUAAGUGUUUAUAGCCUCUUGCCUAUGCAGUCGGAGAGAUUGAGGUCUGCAGCGUAGAUCCUUCGGGGCUAAAUGCAUUUGUGCUGAGUUAUAGCAUUUUAUAGACAACUUGUUGACUAUGAUUUGUCUUGUAGCUUACUCGCUUAUGUUAUUUUACCUACGCUUAGGAUGUUGAAGAUGUAGCACAUCAU
rnacentral:rRNA from 1 species